UCGGGAAUUUUGGGCAAUGGGCGAAAGCCUGACCCAGCAACGCCGCGUGAGUGACGAAGGCCUUAGGGUUGUAAAGCUCUUUUGGCGGGGAAGAUAAUGACGGUACCCGCAGAAUAAGCUCCGGCUAACUUCGUGCCAGCAGCCGCGGUAAUACGAAGGGAGCUAGCGUUGUUCGGAAUCACUGGGCGUAAAGCGCACGUAGGCGGAUGUGUCAGUCAGGGGUGAAAUCCCGGAGCUCAACUUCGGAACUGCCCUUGAUACAGCACGUCUUGAGUCCGAUAGAGGUGGGUGGAAUUCCUAGUGUAGAGGUGAAAUUCGUAGAUAUUAGGAAGAACACCGGUGGCGAAGGCGGCCCACUGGAUCGGUACUGACGCUGAGGUGCGAAAGCGUGGGGAGCAAACAGGAUUAGAUACCCCCGUAGUCCCUGAGCGGGCUGGCAAGGCGCAU
rnacentral:rRNA from 1 species